rnacentral:rRNA from 1 species
UACGUAGGUCACGAACGUUAUUCGGAAUCACUGGGCUUAAAGGGCGCGUAGGCGGUUCAGUAAGUCGGGUGUGAAAACUCUGGGCUCAACCCAGAGACGCCACCCGAUACUGCUGUGACUUGAGUACGGUAGGGGAGUGGGGAAUUCCUGGUGUAGCGGUGAAAUGCGUAGAUAUCGGGAGGAACACCAGUGGCGAAGGCGACUACCUGGCCUGUUCUUGACGCUGAGGCGCGAAAGCUAGGGGAGCAAACGGG